UGUAUUGUUUAUGAACAGGCAGACACGUGCCGAAUGUACGCAUCCAAGGAGGCGUGCGUGAUGAAUGCUAUGCUUGGGGCGGGCACAGAGUUUUGCAGGUAUCAUGAGUAAAUGAAAAGCAUUUUGUUCAAGAAUCUCCAGUACCACAGGAAGCUCCUACUGACAAACCUAAAUUAUUUGUCACUGUCAUCACCAUUAAAAAUGGCCAGCACUCAAGAAGAUACUUGUGAUGGUGAUGUGAAAACUGAGGACAAGCUAAAGGCUUCUAACAUUGUGACUCGCUCGGAAGUAGUCAUGGACAGAAAUGCUUAUACCAUUGUAAAGGAAGGUCA